GCCCGGCGCGGUGGCGCGUGCCUGUAGUCCCAGCUACUCCGGAGGCUGAGGUGCGAGGAUCGCUUGAGCCCAGGAGUUCUGGGCUGCAGUGCGCUAUGCCGAUCGGGUGUCCACACUAAGUUCAGCAUCAAUAUGGUGACCUCCCGGGAGUGGGGAACCACCAGGUUGCCUAAGGAGGGAUGAGCCGGCCCAGGUCGGAAACGGAGCAGGUCAGAACUCCCGUGCUGAUCAGUAGUGGGAUCGCGCCUGUCAACAGCCACUACACUGCAGCCUGGGCAACACAGCGAGACCCCGUCUCUU
ensembl:misc_RNA Metazoa_SRP Metazoan signal recognition particle RNA